AUUGAACGCUGGCGGCAUGCUUUACACAUGCAAGUCGAACGGCAGCGCGGGCUUCGGCCUGGCGGCGAGUGGCGAACGGGUGAGUAAUGCAUCGGAACGUGCCCAGUAGUGGGGGAUAGCCCGGCGAAAGCCGGAUUAAUACCGCAUACGACCUGAGGGUGAAAGCGGGGGACCGAAAGGCCUCGCGCUAUUGGAGCGGCCGAUGUCGGAUUAGCUAGUUGGUGGGGUAAAGGCUUACCAAGGCGACGAUCCGUAGCUGGUCUGAGAGGACGACCAGCCACACUGGGACUGAGACACGGCCCAGACUCCUACGGGAGGCAGCAGUGGGGAAUUUUGGACAAUGGGGGCAACCCUGAUCCAGCCAUGCCGCGUGCGGGAAGAAGGCCUUCGGGUUGUAAACCGCUUUUGUUCGGGAAGAAAUCCUCUGGGCUAAUACCCCGGGGGGAUGACGGUACCCGAAGAAUAAGCACCGGCUAACUACGUG
rnacentral:rRNA from 1 species